AAACAUUGAUAGUAUUUUACACCCACUAUCCGCCCGGGUACUACGAGCAACAGCUUAAAACCCAAAGGACUUGGCGGUGCUUUAGACCCACCUAGAGGAGCCUGUUCUAGAACCGAUAACCCCCGUUCAACCUCACCCUUCCUUGUUUUUCCCGCCUAUAUACCGCCGUCGUCAGCUUACCCUGUGAGGGACAAAUAGUAAGCAAAACUGGCACAGCCUAAAACGUCAGGUCGAGGUGUAGCGUAUGGAGGGGGAAGAAAUGGGCUACAUUCGCUACAGUAGCGAACCACGAAAGACUGAGCUGAAACCGUUUACUUGAAGGAGGAUUUAGCAGUAAGUAG
rnacentral:rRNA from 1 species